UACGGGGGGAGCAAGCGUUGUUCGGAAUUACUGGGCGUAAAGGGCUCGUAGGCGGCCAACUAAGUCAGACGUGAAAUCCCCAGGCUCAACCUGGGAACUGCGUCUGAUACUGGAUGGCUUGAAUCCGGGAGAGGGAUGCAGAAUUCCAGGUGUAGCGGUGAAAUGUGUAGAGAUCGGGAGGAACACCGGUGGCGAAGGCGGGUCUCUGGGCAAUUCCUGACGCUGAGGCGCGAAAGCGUGGGGAGCAAACGGG
rnacentral:rRNA from 1 species